rnacentral:tRNA from 1 species
GGAGAGAUGGAUGAGUGGUUUAAAUCAACGGUUUACUAAACCGUCGGCCUUUAAUUAGGCCCGCGAGUUCGAAUCUCGCUCUCUCCG